CUGAACUGCUGAACCUCCUGUUCCUAUUCUGACCCUGAAAUGGGCACCAGGUUCCUCUGUUGGGUGACCAUCUGUCUCUUGGGAGCAGAACUCACUGAAGGUGGAGUCACUCAGUCUCCCAGACACAAGAUCACAGGAAAAGGACAGGCUGUGGCUUUGUGGUGUGACCCUAUUUCUGGCCACCGUGCCCUUUACUGGUACCAGCAGACCCUGGGACAGGGCCUGGGUCUUCUGAUUAGCUUUGAGGAUGAGGCUGUAGCAGAUGAUUCACAGCUGCCUAAGCAUCGGUUUUCUGCAGAGAGGUCCAAAGGAGGAGACUCUACUCUCCAGAUCAAGCCUGCAGAGCUGGGGGACUCAGCCGUGUAUUUCUGUGCUAGCAGCUUAGCCACAGCACUGCAGAACCCCUUCCUUCCUGUGCACAAAGCAUCAUGGUUCUCCUCUGUCUAUUCAGCUCAUGGAGGCUCUAAACAGAGCCCUUCCCUUAUUCCUCACGAUCAGGGGAAAGAAGUGGGCUUGCAGAGAUAA